rnacentral:rRNA from 1 species
UACGUAGGGUGCGAGCGUUGUCCGGAAUUAUUGGGCGUAAAGGGCUCGUAGGCGGUUUGUCGCGUCGGGAGUGAAAACCCAGGGCUUAACCCUGGGCUGGCUUCCGAUACGGGCAGACUAGAGGUAUGCAGGGGAGAACGGAAUUCCUGGUGUAGCGGUGAAAUGCGCAGAUAUCAGGAGGAACACCGAUGGCGAAGGCAGCUCGCUGGGACGGUACUGACGCUGAGGCGCGAAAGCGUGGGGAGCAAACAGG